rnacentral:rRNA from 1 species
GACUUGGAGGUUGUGCCUUGAGGCGUGGCUUCCCGAGCUAACGCGUUAAGUCGACCGCCUGGGGAGUACGGCCGCAAGGUUAAAACUCAAAUGAAUUGACGGGGGCCCGCACAAGCGGUGGAGCAUGUGGUUUAAUUCGAUGCAACGCGAAGAACCUUACCUGGUCUUGACAUCCACGGAAUUUGGCAGAGAUGCCUUAGUGCCUUCGGGAACCGUGAGACAGGUGCUGCAUGGCUGUCGUCAGCUCGUGUUGUGAAAUGUUGGGUUAAGUCCCGCAACGAGCGCAACCCUUAUCCUUUGUUGCCAGCGGUCCGGCCGGGAACUCAAAGGAGACUGCCAGUGAUAAACUGGAGGAAGGUGGGGAUGACGUCAAGUCAUCAUGGCCCUUACGACCAGGGCUACACACGUGCUACAAUGGCAUAUACAAAGAGAAGCGACCUCACGAGAGCAAGCGGACCUCAUAAAGUAUGUCGUAGUCCGGAUUGGAGUCUGCAACUCGACUCCAUGAAGUCGGAAUCGCUAGUAAUCGUGGAUCAGAAUGCCACGGUGAAUACGUUCCCGGGCCUUGUACACACCGCCCGUCACACCAUGGGAGUGGGUUGCAAAAGAAGUAGGUAGCUUAACCUUCGGGAGGGCGCUUACCACUUUGUGAUUCAUGACUGGGGUGAAGUCGUAACAAGGUAAC